GAAGAAGGAGGGAGGCGUGCUUAACACAUGCAAGUCGAACGGAAAGGCCCUGCUUUUGUGGGGUGCUCGAGUGGCGAACGGGUGAGUAACACGUGAGUAACCUGCCCUUGACUUUGGGAUAACUUCAGGAAACUGGGGCUAAUACCGGAUAGGAGCUCCUGCUGCAUGGUGGGGGUUUUAAAGUUUCUGCGGUUUUUGAUGGACUCUCGGCUUAUCAGCUUUUUGGUGGGGUAGUGGCUUACCAAGGCUUUGACGGGUAGCCGGCCUGAGAGGGUGACCGGCCACAUUGGGACUGAGAUACGGCCCAGACUCCUACGGGAGGAAGAAGUGGGGAAUAUUGCAAAAUGGGCGGAAGCCUGAUGCAGCAACGCCGCGUGCGGGAUGACGGCCUUCGGGUUGUAAACCGCUUUCGACUGUGACGAAGAGUGAGUGAAGGUAAUGGGUAAAGAAGCACCGGCUAAAUAAGUG
rnacentral:rRNA from 1 species